UAGGGAAUCUUCCACAAUGGGCGCAAGCCUGAUGGAGCAACACCGCGUGAGUGAAGAAGGGUUUCGGCUCGUAAAGCUCUGUUGUUAAAGAAGAACACGUAUGAGAGUAACUGUUCUUGUAUUGACGGUAUCUAACCAGCAAGUCACGGCUAACUACGUGCCAG
rnacentral:rRNA from 1 species